GAUGAACGCUGGCGGCGUGCCUAAUACAUGCAAGUCGAGCGAACAGACGAGGAGUUUGCUCCUCUGACGUUAGCGGCGGACGGGUGAGUAACACGUGGAUAACCUACCUAUAAGACUGGGAUAACUUCGGGAAACCGGAGCUAAUACCGGAUAAUAUAUUGAACCGCAUGGUUCAAUAGUGAAAGACGGUUUUGCUGUCACUUAUAGAUGGAUCCGCGCCGCAUUAGCUAGUUGGUAAGGUAACGGCUUACCAAGGCAACGAUGCGUAGCCGACCUGGGAGGGUGAUCGGCCACACUGGAACUGAGACACGGUCCAGACUCCUACGGGAGGCAGCAGUAGGGAAUCUUCCGCAAUGGGCGAAAGCCUGACGGAGCAACGCCGCGUGAGUGAUGAAGGUCUUCGGAUCGUAAAACUCUGUUAUUAGGGAAGAACAAAUGUGUAAGUAACUAUGCACGUCUUGACGGUACCUAAUCAGAAAGCCACGGCUAACUACGUG
rnacentral:rRNA from 1 species